GCCGCGGGAAGGGUACUCCAGGCGAGAGGCGGACGCGAGUCGUCGUGGCAGGAAAAGUGACUAGCUCCCCUUCGUUGUCAGCCAGGGACGAGAACACAGCCACGCUCCCACCCGGCUGCCAACGAUCCCUCGGCGGCGAUGUCGGCCGCCGGUGCCCGAGGCCUGCGGGCCACCUACCACCGGCUCCUCGAUAAAGUGGAGCUGAUGCUGCCCGAGAAAUUGAGGCCGUUGUACAACCAUCCAGUCCCAGAACAGUUUUCUUCUGGGCUCCAAUUAUGAAAUGGGGGUUGGUGUGUGCUGGAUUGGCUGAUAUGGCCAGACCUGCAGAAAAACUUAGCACAGCUCAAUCUGCUGUUUUGAUGGCUACAGGGUUUAUUUGGUCAAGAUACUCACUUGUAAUUAUUCCAAAAAAUUGGAGUCUGUUUGCUGUUAAUUUCUUUGUGGGGGCAGCAGGAGCCUCUCAGCUUUUUCGUAUUUGGAGAUAUAACCAAGAACUAAAAGCUAAAGCACACAAAUAAAAGAGUUCCUGAUCACCUGAACAAUCUAGAUGUGGACAAAACCAUUGGGACCUAGUUUAUUAUUUGGUUAUUGAUAAAGCAAAGCUAACUGUGUGUUUAGAAGGCACUGUAACUGGUAGCUAGUUCUUGAUUCAAUAGAAAAAUGCAGCAAACUUUUAAUAACAGUCUCUCUACAUGACUUAAGGAACUUAUCUAUGGAUAUUAGUAACAUUUUUCUACCAUUUGUCCGUAAUAAACCAUACU
rnacentral:lncRNA from 1 species